CAGAGGACCUCGGCCGCUCAUCCGUCACACGGAGACCUUGGCUGCCCAACGGUAUAGCUCCUCCCUGGAGUCUCGUCUCGCUGUCUCGCUCCUCCCCGCGUCUCUUCCCUUAAUACUGGCGGCUUACACUGAUAUGUCUAUGCCGCCGCUGACAGCGCUGCUUUGCGGCUCCGCCUCCACUCCUUUGCUCCCGGGUUAAUUCCGGUCAGACACAGUGACGUCCGUCCUCUCCUCAAUCACGCUCUCCUCUCCUCAGGCAUCCGACCACAGCUCCAACCGAACAGCCUCUGCCCUCGCUCAGCCCCGGCAGUUUUAUUUCUAACCUCCUCCUGGACUGCUCGUGCUCCUCCCGUGAGCCCAGGUCACUCCAUCAUGCCAUACUACGGUAAUCACAAUUACUAUCAUGGUCCAGGACACGGCCCUUACUACAACAACUUUCAUGGAAAUUCUUCAUCAUACUACCAUCAUUACCCACCUCAUGGCUUUGGACCUCAGCCACACUACAAUGGUCCACCUUAUUACCAUGGGUUCCAUUAGAAGAACAAGCCUGGUUGCAGCAUGAGUGGACCUGGAUUUAAAUUGAGUUUGGACUAUCAAAGGAAAAAUGUUUCCAAAUCCGACUUUCCAAUUGUACAGAUGUCCUGCUUAGCACUGAGCGCACAUAUAACAGAUACGUGUGUAAUCACUUCCUUACCAACACUAUGAAACUAAAUACCAUAAGUACUUUGUGUAUUUUCUGCUCUGCUCACAUUAUAUAAUAUUUACUGCACGCUAUAAAAUCUCAAAAUAAAAUUUG